rnacentral:rRNA from 1 species
CUAAUACAUGCAAGUCGAGCGAACAGACAAGGAGCUUGCUCCUUUGACGUUAGCGGCGGACGGGUGAGUAACACGUGGGUAACCUACCUAUAAGACUGGGAUAACUUCGGGAAACCGGAGCUAAUACCGGAUAAUAUUUCGAACCGCAUGGUUCGAUAGUGAAAGAUGGUUUUGCUAUCACUUAUAGAUGGACCCGCGCCGUAUUAGCUAGUUGGUAAGGUAACGGCUUACCAAGGCGACGAUACGUAGCCGACCUGAGAGGGUGAUCGGCCACACUGGAACUGAGACACGGUCCAGACUCCUACGGGAGGCAGCAGUAGGGAAUCUUCCGCAAUGGGCGAAAGCCUGACGGAGCAACGCCGCGUGAGUGAUGAAGGUCUUCGGAUCGUAAAACUCUGUUAUUAGGGAAGAACAUACGUGUAAGUAACUAUGCACGUCUUGACGGUACCUAAUCAGAAAGCCACGGCUAACUACGUGCCAGCAGCGCGG